rnacentral:rRNA from 1 species
AUUGAACGCUGGCGGAAUGCUUUACACAUGCAAGUCGAACGGUAGAGGGGGCAACCCCUCGAGAGUGGCGAACGGGUGAGUAAUAUAUCGGAACGUGCCCAGUCGUGGGGGAUAACGUAGCGAAAGUUACGCUAAUACCGCAUACGAUCUAAGGAUGAAAGCGGGGGAUCGCAAGACCUCCCGCGAUUGGAGCGGCCGAUAUCAGAUUAGGUAGUUGGUGGGGUAAAGGCCCACCAAGGCGACGAUCUGUAGCUGGUCUGAGAGGACGACCAGCCACACUGGAACUGAGACACGGUCCAGACUCCUACGGGAGGCAGCAGUGGGGAAUUUUGGACAAUGGGCGCAAGCCUGAUCCAGCAAUGCCGCGUGCAGGAUGAAGGCCUUCGGGUUGUAAACUGCUUUUGUACGGAACGAAACGGCUCCUUCUAAUACAAGGGGCUAAUGACGGUACCGUAAGAAUAAGCACCGGCUAACUACGUGCCAGCAGCCGCAGUAA